UGGGGAAUAUUGGACAAUGGGCGCAAGCCUGAUCCAGCAAUGCCGCGUGUGUGAAGAAGGCCUUCGGGUUGUAAAGCACUUUUAUCAGGAGCGAAACGCUGUCGGCUAAUACCCGGCGGAACUGACGGUACCUGAGGAAUAAGCACCGGCUAACUUCGUGCCAGCAGCCGCGGUAAUACGAAGGGUGCAAGCGUUAAUCGGAAUUACUGGGCGUAAAGCGUGCGUAGGCGGUUUCUUAAGUCUGCUGUGAAAUCCCCGGGCUCAACCUGGGAAUGGCAGUGGAUACUGGGAGGCUAGAGUGUGUCAGAGGGUGGUGGAAUUCCCGGUGUAGCGGUGAAAUGCGUAGAGAUCGGGAGGAACAUCAGUGGCGAAGGCGGCCACCUGGGACAACACUGACGCUGAGGCACGAAAGCGUGGGGAGCAAACAGGAUUAGAUACCCUGGUAGCCCACGCCCUAAACGAUGCGAACUGGAUGUUGGUCUCAACUCGGAGAUCAGUGUCGAAGCUAACGCGUUAAGUUCGCCGCCUGGGGAGUACGGUCGCAAGACUGAAACUCAAAGGAGUUGACGGGGGUCAUAGCUG
rnacentral:rRNA from 1 species